AGUUUUCUCAUGGAACUGCAUCUGGUUUGCACAACCAUUGAUAAUCUAUAAGAUCAUCUAUCGGUACAUAUAAAAAUACUGUUUUUGAAGUUUGGAAAAUAAAGUAGGAUCUUUCUGCAGUAAUCACAUUAUUUCUGUACUUUAAUAUAUCAAAGUCUUAUAAAUAACAUGUGAUCAGUAAUAACUAUAUGUAGAUCAUAUGAAAAAUGUAUGAUAUGCUACAGUCAUUGACAGUAAAUUUCAUAUACAUGUACAUGUAGAUAUCUGAAACAGAUAUGAUCUGCUACAGUAAAUAUGGAUACAUUUUGUACAUUAUCUAAGACAGAUUGAUUUUCAUUGUAUUACAUUGUAUUACAUGCAUGUACAGUAGAAAUGGAUAUCUGAGACAAAUAUGAUCUACAUACACUAACAGUGUACGUUUUAUUUCAGUAAACAUGGAUAUCUGAGGCUGGUACAUGUACAUGUAUGAUCUGUUACAGAAAAUACGGAUGUCUGAAGCAUAUCAUGUAAUCUGUUAUGGUAUGGAUGCUUUAAAAAUAUAUUAUUUUUUAAGAUAUUGGGGUCUUUAGCAGAUCAUAUAAUCUGUUACGGAAUGGAAUCUAUGAAUGUCUAAUAACAUGAAUAAAUAUAUUACAGAUGUAUGUGAUCUGUUAAAGUAUGGAUGUUUUCAAAAGAUCAAAUUACAUUGUAUCUGUUAAUGAAUGGAAUCUAUGGAUCCCUUCACUCUCUUGUUGCGCUAUUUAUAUGUGGUUACACUCCGUUUGCCAAGAAAAACCACAGCUGGACCUCAAUAUAUGAUGUUAUAAAUAAACAAACAGAG
rnacentral:lncRNA from 1 species